UAUGAGAAUAUUACUGAUUUACAGUUAUGAACAUCAGAGAGCAAAGCUUCUUCUCAUUCAAGCUAAACUAUUAAGAAAAACAGGAAAGGAUCCUCUGGAAGCUUUCCCUAACCAUCAUCACCACAGAUACUCUGCCUCCCCAUUUUUCCGUCAGAAGUCAUUGUCCAAAGCCAGCUCAGUGCCCAAGAAUCUUCUACUACUGCAGUAAAGUCAAGUGUAUUUAUCUGUAUAUUAUUGUGAGCAAACAAAGAUAUUGAAUAUGGAAUUUUUUACAAUAUUUAUUUGAAGUAUUCUGCAACUCGAACGUAUAAUCUAUGUCUUCUCUGUACUUUCGUUUUAUUUAUUUACCUUGAUAAUCAAAACCUGCUAAGUGCCUUUUCUGUUAUGUCAACUGUAAGAUCAUAAAUUAGUAAUAACUCAGUUGAUGGUUUUACAGUGAAGAAUAAGUAAAUCCAGAUGUUCUUGUUUAACAUUAUUGUGUGUUAGUGAAGUAUAACUAUUGUAAUUAUAAUUGGUGUUUCAUAUUAUACAUGGUUUAUUUUUGAGGUGCCUUUAGUCAAUGACUUAUUGAAAUAUAGUGUACCUAUUAUUCACAUAAUUAUAAACUCUCUUCACCCUUUGAAAUGACAGAUAUUUUUUUAAGUAUAUUUUGAAAAAAAGAUUGUGUUUUUCUAAACUUUGUUCCUAAGAGGUGCUAAAUGUCAUACGGUUAAAACUUUCAUACAUUACUUUUGUAAAGAUUAACAUAUUUUGACUUGUGGGUUAGAGAUUUUAAGUAGUUUCUUUUGAACAGGUAUUGAGAAGUAUUUUUUGUCAAUAAGUAAGAUUUUGAAGAAGUUUUCCUGUUACAAAAUAUAAUCAACAGAGAAGUGCUUUAUGUUAAAAGUAAUUUAAUGAUCUAGUAUAAAUUUAAAAGAUUAUUUUCACUUUUGUUUUACAGAAUUUUUUUUUACUUUCAUUACUCCAUUUUGCUAUAAUUUUUGGUGUAAUGGUUACUUUUAAAACCAAAAAGUGAAACCUAAGUAUUACAUACUUACUCUAACAUGUUAAAUUGUUUUGAACAAAUUUCAUUUUGUAAGACUAAGAAAUGAUUUCCAAGAGUCUUUGUUUAACCUAAGUUUAAUAUUCGUAUAGAUAACACCGAGAACUGUCAUCCACUAAUAUUGUUUGUAAAACAGGAUGCAUUAAAUAUUAAUGAAAUGUGUAAAUUUGAAAAUAAAUUAUGAUGUAAUAUAA